rnacentral:rRNA from 1 species
AACGAACGCUGGCGGCGUGCUUAACACAUGCAAGUCGAACGCGAAAGGGACUUCGGUCCUGAGUAAAGUGGCGCACGGGUGAGUAACGCGUAGAUAACCUGUCUUCAUGUCUGGAAUAAUACGCCGAAAGGGGUACUAAUACCGGAUAUUCUUGCUUUUCAUAAGUUAUGCAAGCAAAGGUGGCCUCUGCAUAUGCUACUGCAUGAAGAGGGGUCUGCGUACCAUUAGCUAGUAGGUGGGGUAAUGGCCUACCUAGGCGACGAUGGUUAGCGGGUCUGAGAGGAUGAUCCGCCACACUGGCACUGGAACACGGGCCAGACUCCUACAGGAGGCAGCAGUGAGGAAUAUUGCGCAAUGGGGGAAACCCUGACGCAGCGACGCCGCGUGAGUGAGGAAAGGCCUUCGGGUCGUAAAGCUCUGUCAAGAGGAAAGAAGUGUACAAUGGCUAAUACCUGUUGUAUUUGACGGUACCUCUAAAGGAAGCACCGGCUAACUCCGUGCCAGCAGCUGC